UGAAUCAGAGGACAGAACGGGCAGCUGUCGCCGGAUGGAUUUAAUCCUGAUUAGGAGAUGUGGGAAUGUCACCCCACCUAUUCA
ncrna:unclassified sequences skipping-rope RNA